CUUCGUUAUUAAUUUAUUUUUAUAUUAAUAUACAGUUUAUAUGAUAUUUACUUAUUAUUAAUUAUCAUAAACUAAACUUAAAAACAAAAAAUGAUACAAUAUAACCUAAUAUUAUAUGCUUCAUGCAUAAUGUUUAUCGACUGAACGUUGAUUGUGUCAUUGACCGAUUGUUUACCGAUUGUUUUAAAAUAUAAAUGAAAGAUUUGUAAAUAUUUAAUUUUUUGAAUGCUCAAUAAUUAAUUUAAAUAUAAAAAAAUUAAGAAUUAACUAUAAUAAAUAAAUAAUUAAUUUCUCUACUUAAAAUAUUAAAAGAAAAAUAAAUACUGGAAAUAUUAGAACAAACAAUAUCUAAAAGAUAAAAUAUCUAAAAAAUAAAAUCAAAUAAAACAUAGAAGAGUGAAAGAAAUAAGAAAAUAAAAAAUAAAAGAAUAUAUAUUAAUUAUAAUAUUAUUAAAAUUAUCAUAUUUCUUAUAUUAUAUAUAUUAUUAUAUAUAUAUAUAUAUAUAUAUUAUAUACAUUAUAUACAUUAUUUUAGAGAUUUGAUAUUUUUACAAUUUCAUUACAGAACUUAUUAUUUAUAAUUCAUUAUAGAAUAAUAAUCCAUGAAAUUAUAAAUCAUUAAGAAUAGAAUGAUAUGUUUUGUCAUUCGAUGUUACAUAAUAUUGUAUCUACUUAUUAUAUUAAAUUUGUAUUCCACAAAUAUAAAAAAAAUAUUUUAUUAUUUAUUAAAAUAAGAAAUAAAGUAACUUACCUGGAAUCUCUUAAUUUAUAACUGCGAUCACCCUUAGCAGAAGUUAAAAUGUAUACAGGGCUUUCCUCAGGCCCACUAUCAUCCUGCUGAGAAUGACUUUGAUGAUCACUACCUGGGAGACUACCAUAUUGUUGUGCAUCCUCACUAUGUCCAGAGGCAGAUGAGGAACUUGAAGAAAGUGGUUUUGUGUUAAAUGUACCAAGUGAAUUAAAUGUUCCAAGUGGACCGCCAACAUUGCUUGUGUUACUACUAACACCAACAGUUAGUUGACUUUCACUUGUAAAACCAGAUACCAUGCUCGUUGUCCUAUAAAACAAAAAUAAUGAUUAAUUAUUAUUUAUAUUAUAUUCUUUAUAUCAUUAUAUUUAAAUAUAAUUAUUAAAAUAAAAUUCAUUUAUUAUAUCAA